UACGUAGGGUGCAAGCGUUGUCCGGAUUUACUGGGCGUAAAGGGCGCGUAGGCGGCGUGGUAAGUCACUUGUGAAAUCUCCGAGCUUAACUCGGAACGGUCAAGUGAUACUGCUGUGCUAGAGUGCAGAAGGGGCAAUCGGAAUUCUUGGUGUAGCGGUGAAAUGCGUAGAUAUCAAGAGGAACACCUGAGGUGAAGACGGGUUGCUGGGCUGACACUGACGCUGAGGCGCGAAAGCUAGGGUAGCAAACGGG
rnacentral:rRNA from 1 species